AUGCUGAUGAGGGGUGAUAUCGUGCCUGCGUGUUUCUGUUUUCGCGCACUUUUGUGUGGUUGUCGAUGCUAACGUGAAGGACGAGUGGCGUCGUGCUUGAUCGAUCCAGCUUUUCUAUAAAAUUAACGUGUUUCUGAUGUUGUGCACAUUGAGUUCUUUUCAAAGCUGACGUGCCAGAUAAAUCCAGCUUUUCUAUAAAAUCACUGGUGAGUGACAUUACCAAACAUCGUAAAACAACGGCUCUUGAGGGAUUGCUACUUUUCCUGCUUGAGAAGUCAGCAAAUUUGCUCAAGAUAUGCCUGGAUACGAAUUCUGUGAACUGCUGCACCAAAGGUGUAAAGAUUGGAAUUCUGACUGUGGAGGAAGAUGAUGUUGCCGGUGUUACAUCGCAGCCCACUGUUAUCAACAUGGCCAUAAUCUUGGAGGAGGCCAUUGUGCUUGAGGACAUUAAAGAUCUUCCAUCUGCAUUUGCAUAUUUGUUUGGCCUCUUAUAUGCAUUUAACAUGGAAUAUCUGAAAGAAUUGAAGUACACUUUUGAAGUCAUCAUGGAUCUAGGUGGUACCUGCUCAGCUAGAGUGCAGUCAUUGAAAUCCAAACUUUGCUAAAUGGAUGAAGCCACUUAAAUGACGUU